rnacentral:lncRNA from 1 species
AUCGUAUGGUACAUCACAGGUACCUUAUUAGUUUUUAAGUACCUCGUGUACAUAGAUUUAUGACACGAUUACAUCGUAUGGUACAUCACAUGUAACUUAUUAGUUUUUAAGUACCUCAUGUACAUAGAUUUAUGACACGAUUACAUCGUAUGGUACAUCACAUAUAACAUAUUAGUUUUUAAGUACCUCGUGUACAUAGAUUUAUGAAACGCCUACAUCGUAUGGUACAUCACAUUAUCCAGAAAAAAUCAUAGUACAUGACAAGUACACGAAGGUACAUCACAUAUACAUCAAGUUACAGGACAAAUAUAUUAAGGUACAUCUCGAUACCUAAGACCUAAGUACCUCAUCAAUCCUCAAUAUAACAAGGAUCAAACAGAUAGAAAAUAUAACAAGGAUCAAAGAUAGAAAGAAGAACUCGAAUUCAACUUUAAAUUCAACAAAACAAAGUACUUAAGUACCUAUGUACUCGAAUUCUAACAACCAUCAUCACAGGAGACCGAAAACUCCUUUCUAAGUACCUCAUAAAUUACAAUCACAGUACCUCGAUGGGUUACCAAAUCAGCAUCUUCCAUAGCCCGCGAUGAGAUACCGAAAAAAAAAAUACCAAAUCCGCACGGGGGUGGCGGCGGAAGAGCAAGGGCCGGCGGCCGGCGGGGGAGGCAGCGGAGGAGCACGGGCCGGCGGCCGGUGAGGGCUGUGGAGGAGGAGGCCGGGACCUGUAGAUCGCCGCCUCCAAGGAGUAGGCCGCCGUUGUGGGGACGUGUAGGCGGCGGCGAGCGGGGCAGCAGAGACACGGCGUCAGCAGCGAGGAGGAGCAGGACUGCAGGAGGCAGGGACACGGACUAGAGAGAGAAGGGCGAGAGAGAAGCGCUGUGGCAGAGAGAAAAUGACCACGUGAGGAGACAGAGACGAGAUAUAAAAAGAGAGAGAUCACAUGAUGCAGUUAAUUAGACAGAGAGGAUUAAGGAAAGAAAGGG